AGAAGAAUUAUUAGAUCAAAGCCAGCUUGCAACUCCAUAGAGUUCACUGCCUUGACACCAUUGUUCUCUUACCUUUGUCUGAAAAUCCAUUCACUUUGCUGUUGCUAAGAUUAUAUCAUGGCUGGUGCACUUGUUGGUGGAGCUUUGCUCUCUGGCUUCAUUAACGUUGUCUUUGACAGAUUCAUUACAACGGAUGCGGUCAACCUGGUCUUGGGCAAGAAGCUUGGUCCUGACUUAGUUGAAAGGCUGAAGAUUUCUCUGCUUGCAGCUGAAGCUCUGGUUGGUGAUGCUGAGUUCAAGCAAUUGGACAAUCCUUCUGUGAGGGAGUGGCUUAACAGUCUGAGGGAUGCUGUUUAUGUGGCUGAUGACUUGCUGGACGCUGUCCUCACCAAAGCCGCCACUCAAAAGGAGGUACGUUCUUUCUGGCCUAUUAGCUUCCUCGACCGGGAUAGGAAGAUUGUAGAUAAGAUGGAAGGGGUGGUGAGAAGAAUAGAAUUUCUUGUAAAACAAAAAGAUUUCCUUGGUCUUGAAAAGAGUUCCUAUAGGGACUUUUUGUCAUGGAGAAUUCCAUCCACAUCUCUGGUGGAAGGUAAUAUCCUUGGCAGGGAAAAGGACCAACAGGAAAUCAUCAAGAUACUAAAUGAUAACAGAGAACAUCAGUUGUCUGUGAUUCCCAUUGUGGGCAUAGGUGGGGUUGGCAAAACAACUUUAGCACAAUGGCUGUACAAUAAUGAAAAGUUGAUGGAGGGUUUUCAAGUCAAAGAAUGGGUUUGUGUCUCUGAAGACUUUAAUGUUGUUCAGGUUACAAAGAAUAUUAUAGGUCAAACUGCUUGUAAUGUAGAGGAUUUCAAUUCACUUCAACUUGAACUGAAGGAAAAGUUGUCUGAAAAGAAGUUCUUUAUUGUGUUAGAUGAUGUUUGGAGUGAUGAUGGUGAUGUCUGGAAGAAAUUUAGAACCCCUUUUCAAUAUGGGGUAAAGGGAAGUACAAUUCUUGUAACAACUCGUGUCAAAGAGGUUGCCUCUGUAGUCCAAACUUGUCCCCCUUACAUUCUCAGUGAGUUGUCUGAGGAUUGUUGUUGGUCAGUGUUUGCAAACAAUGUUUGUUUUCCAGAAUCAAAUGGGGAUCCAAAACUAGAAGAAAUCGGUAGAAAGAUAGCCAAGAAGUGUAAGGGGUUGCCAUUAGCUGCAGAAACACUUGGAAGCUUGUUGCGAACAAAACAUGAUGUUAAGGAAUGGGAAGCUGUAUUAGUAAGUGAUAUUUGGGAAUUUUCUGUGAAAAACAGUAAAAUUAUUCCAGCAUUAUUAAUCAGUUACUUUCAUCUUCCUGCACAUUUAAAACGUUGUUUUGUUUAUUGUUCAUUGUAUCCCAAAGAUCAUUGUUUUUGUAAAGAUGAACUAAUUUUGCUAUGGAUGGCCGAAGAUCUUUUAAGGCCACCAAAUAGAGGAGAGAGUUUACUAGAAGUUGGUAGCAAAUGUUUUGAUGAACUAGCUUCUAGGUUGUUUUUCAAAAGACAUGAUCAGUAUGAUUCUGAGAGCUUUGUGAUGCAUGACCUUUUACAUGAUUUAGCAUUGUUCCUUGCUGGAGACUUCUAUGGUAGAUUUGAAGAGCUUGGUGAUGCAGUGAAUGUGUAUACUCGAACUCGUCAUUUGUCUUAUGAAAGUUCGAAUCUAGUCUCAAGAAAUUUUAAUUCCAUCAGUAAAGUUGAAUCUUUGAGGACAUUUUUGUCAACUAAUGUCUUUUCAAAGUCAGAUAACAUUGAUGAUGUAACAUGUACUCCAAUAUUGAAGCUCAAAUAUUUGAGAGUUUUGACACUUCCGUGGUUCCAAGGACUUAAUGUAUUGCCUGAAUCAAUAGGUGAAUUAACCUAUUUGCGUUACUUGGAUCUCUCUAGGACAUGUAUUAGGACACUGCCAGAAUCAUUGUGUGACUUGUACAAUCUACAAACAUUGAAGCUGGAAUGUUGUUCUAGUUUGACUAUGUUACCCAAUGGCAUGCAUAAACUUGUGAAUUUGCAACAUCUCGAUAUUUCGGGUACUCAUUUGAAAGAAAUGCCAAGAGGAAUGAGCAAAUUGCAACACCUGCACACAUUAAGCUCCUUUAUCGUGGGCAAGCAUAAAGAUAAUGGAAUCCAGGAAUUAGAGCUAUUAAAUCUUCAUGGAUUCUUUGAGAUUCAAAAAUUGGAGAAUGUCCUUGAUGUGAAAGAAGCAAGGAGUGCAAGGAUAAUAGAUAAGCAGCACAUUGACAACUUAGUGUUGGAAUGGUCUUCAGGUGAUUAUAUGGUUUCAAGCACACAAACUGAAAGAGAUAUACUCGACAGCUUGCAACCGCACCAUGGCUUGGAAGUGUUGCAAAUCAGGGGAUACAAGGGUACAAUAUUUCCAAAUUGGAUGGGGUAUUGUUCUUACCAAAACAUGACUUAUGUAUCUCUGAAGUCUUGCAAGAAUUGUUGCAUGUUGCCUUCACUUGGACAGCUGCCAUCUCUUAAGUCCCUCCGCAUUCAAGGUUUUCAUCAGCUGAGGAGUAUUGGCAUGGAGUUUUACAAGAAUGAAGGCGAUCAUCAUUCUUCGCUUCUUGCACCGUUUCCCUCAUUGGAGAUUUUGGAGUUCAAUAACAUGCCAUGUUGGGAGGUGUGGCACUUACCUGACUCAGAAACUUUUCCUCGACUCACGAAUCUUCAUAUAAGAGAUUGUCCGGUGUUAAAGGGAGAUAUGCUUGAACGGGUAUUCUUGAGAAUCAUUUCUUCUUUGUGGGAUGUUUCAAAAGUUCGCAGACUAGAUAUACAUAAAGAUUAUGAAGGAGGGUCUGAGAUGUCACUUAUUAGGGAGGAUAUGGUAUCAAUUAAGGGAUGUGAAUCUAUUCUAGAGUUUGUACUUCAGGUAAUGGGUGUCAACCAUCUAAAUUGCCUCAAAUCUUUGCAAACUCUGAGAAUAUGGAGAUGCAGCAAGCUGAAAUUCCCCCAGCAACAGCAGAAAUACAGUUUACUAGAGCUAUGCAUAGAAGAAAGCUGUGAUUCACUGACCUCAUUGUCGUUGGAUGACUUCCCCAAUCUUAAGACUCUCACUAUAUCAGGGUGCAAGAAUCUGAAAUCAGUUUCAUUGUCAGAGCCAUCACAUGCUGCUCUUCAACGUCUCACCAUCUUUAAAUGCCCCAAUUUUGUGUCAUUCACAGGAAAUGGACUGGCUGCACCUAACUUGACUCAUCUUGAGGUCAGCUUCUGCACCAAGUUGAAGGCAUUGCCACAUGAUAUGAAUACUCUUCUCCCAAGUUUACAGUCUCUCGAGAUAGAGGGCUGCCAGGAAAUUUGUAGGUUGCCAGAGGUUGGUUUCCCGCCUAACCUGAAACAGCUUAUUAUUGGGAAACAAUGGAGGGGUCUAUCGUCGAUGGGCAACUUGGACACCCUCACUCAUCUUAUCAUUGAAGGUUAUGGCAGUGAGAAUGUGAAGUCAUUUCCUGAGGCCGGUUUGCUGCCUCACCUUCCCUCUCUUACCACUUUGAAGAUCAGUCGGUUUAGUAAUUUGGAGACAUUAGAGUGCAACCAGCUUCUCAGCCUCACCUCCCUCCAACAAUUACACAUUGAAGGGUGUAAUAAGCUGAAGAAUAUGGCAGGAGAAAAGCUUCCUUCCUCUCUCUUGCUACUUCAAAUUGACCAGUGUUAUUUGCUGAGACACUGCAAGAACAAGCAUCAACAAAUUUGGCCCAAAAUUUCCCACAUCCCUUCCAUUCAAAUUGGUACCAACGAAGUGCUUCUAUGGAGAGUUGAUCCCUCCUCGCUCAGAGGUAAAAGGAUGCAUAUGGCUAGGAUUUCACCAUAUGUGUAGGAAUUAAUAAUCCUGAGUUUGUUCGAGGCAGUGGAGUUGUAUGUUAGGAGUCAGAAGAGGUGGUUUCUAUUUUUAGCUGCAGGUUCUUUACAACAGGCUACUAACCUAACUACACCAGUUGAGCAAAUAGAAGAAAACUUGAGAGGAGGUGCUAUUUUCAUCUCAGCAGAUUUUUUCAUCAGCAACUUGUUUUCAUCAAGUGCAUGAUCGGAUGGUAAAAUCUAGUGAUAUUGAACUGAAAUUUUAACUGGAGAUUCUUCACUCAAAGCUCUGUGGUAGAACUGCCAGAAAGUUUCAUUAAUUUAAUCUUUUGGUUGACCAUUUUCUUCUGUAGAAUAUGUGGUCAGUGCUUGUAAGUUCUGAGACUUGUUUAUUUUGUUCCUUUGAUUCGGAUAAUAAUGAAGCUUUUUACCUUCUCUUGAGUUCUUAACUCUCACAUUGAGA